AAUAAAUGGUUGUAAAGUUAGUUAAGUAUAGCCCAGAGAAUACACGUCAACUGUGAUUAACUUAUUCUGAAUAUUCAGACACAUGUCAACUGGGCUGUUUGCAAAUCUUUUGGGUCCAGAGGCUACCAAUUCAUGACGCUAAUAUUCUUGGGGAGGUGACCAUAUUUGAUGGCUUUGUAGCAGUGGUUCUCAGGUUUGCCCUUUCUAAGAGGCAUCUAAACAUGAGGAGGAGCUGGCCAAGUGCAGCCCUCCUAAUCAUCCCAGUUGGAAGCCAGGAAUGUCAAAGCAACCAAAAGGGUGUUGAUUGAUAUGUUUGAGCCGGUCCCCAGGCCGAAAGUGUAAAAAGUUAUGAGGGUUUCACUUGGAAGUUUGGCAACUGAUAAGCUUGUAAUGAAUGGCUUUUGGUCUCCAUUUCUUUAUUUUUCUUUUUUGGGGUGACACUCCUGUUUUCCCUUGCUGAUGGGGAAGCAAUUGCUUCCCCUCCUUGCUCAUCCUCCUCACAGAUCUCUCUCUAAAGCAACUCAACCAGAACUGAUAUCUCCCUUCAUUUUUAGUUAAAACUUUCUUGAAGCAGGUAAGGAUUGGGAAAGGCAAAACCGGCCCCGUGGGAAGUUGAACUAAAAGUGGGGUUGUUAAUGCAGUUGCCUGGAUCGAAAAACUCACUCAGGCAAGCAAAAUCCAUCAACUCUUUUGGUUGGCAAGGAUAGUUCUCAAAAGUUAAAACAAAUGGCUGGAAAUGGUUGCGCGUACAAGACAGGCGACAGCUCAAAGUACACAAGGGGUGGUGCAGUCCAUUCCCCUCGAUCAGCGAAGCAUCCGAACGUGUUGUUGGUCAAUUUGUCACAUGGAAGGUCGUAGAAAUGUUUGGCUGAACAAUGAGUGACCCUCCCCAGCAGCACACAUUCACGCACUGAAACACAAAGGAAACCCGUGAUUUUUAGCAGCAACUGCUGGUGCUCCUGUUCCCGAUUGCCAACUGUAUAUCCAAGUUGUAGCUCUUGAGUCUUGUCUUCUCACAUCCCUUUGUCCCUUUCCGGAUUUUGACCUUUCCCUUCUUUGAUUUUUGAAUGACCUAAUUGCUUUCUUCUUAUGGAAAUCAUCUUAAUAAUUGAUAACA